CGUACACUCCUGCGGGAGGCAGCAGUGGGGAAUAUUGCACAAUGGGCGCAAGCCUGAUGCAGCGACGCCGCGUGGGGGAUGAAGGCCUUCGGGUUGUAAACUCCUUUCGCUAGGGACGAAGCUUUUUUGUGACGGUACCUAGAUAAGAAGCACCGGCUAACUACGUGCCAGCAGCCGCGGUAAUACGUAGGGUGCGAGCGUUGUCCGGAAUUACUGGGCGUAAAGGGCUCGUAGGUGGUUUGUCGCGUCGUCUGUGAAAUUCUGGGGCUUAACUCCGGGCGUGCAGGCGAUACGGGCAUAACUUGAGUGCUGUAGGGGUAACUGGAAUUCCUGGUGUAGCGGUGAAAUGCGCAGAUAUCAGGAGGAACACCGAUGGCGAAGGCAGGUUACUGGGCAGUUACUGACGCUGAGGAGCGAAAGCAUGGGUAGCGAACAGGAUUAGAAACCCCAGUAGUCCCAUG
rnacentral:rRNA from 1 species